rnacentral:tRNA from 1 species
CGCGGGGUGGAGAAGCCUGGUAUCUCGUCGGGCUCAUAACCCGAAGAUCGCACGUUCAAAUCGUGCCCCCGCUACCA